rnacentral:misc_RNA from 1 species
AACGCACAUUGCGCCCCUAGGUAUUCCUUGGGGCAUGCCUGUUCGAGCGUCAUUUACCCCCUCAAGCUUUGCUUGGUGUUGGGCGUCUGUCCCGCCUCUGCGCGUGGACUCGCCUCAAAGCGAUUGGCGGUCAGUGCCCCGGCCUGGAGUGCAGCAGAAUUGCGCUCCUUGCGGCGGGCCUGGCUCCCAGAAGCACAUUUACCAUUUUGACCUCGAAUCAGGUAGGGAUACCCGCUGAACUUAA